rnacentral:lncRNA from 1 species
CGGCCCUGGAGCGUGUCCUCACGGGCACUCAGACCCGCGCUCGGUGUGGUCGUUUUCUGGUCGUGACCUGAAGUCUCACCCGCGCAUUUGCUUGAACUGGAAGAGCCCAGCGUGCUCGGUUUGCUAUUUUCAUUUCAGUCCGUCUGUCGUCAAGCUUCACGUUCUCUCCGCAUUGCAGGUUUGACGUCAGAAUUCACCGGCAGCGCCCGUUCUCCUUCGGAAUUCGUAUUUCCGUGCUUCACUCGGUGGGUUUCCAGAUGAUGGGUCAGCUUUAACCCCAGUAAAGCCUUCAGCAGCCUUUCGCAUUUGUGUACGUUAAUGACUCGUCUUGCCUCAGGAGUAGCCCGAAAAACACCCCCAAAGCCAGUCUCCCACAUUCUCCAGCCUGUGCCGUAAUACGUGUUGCCUCGGUGACAGCCCGUAGUGGCUGCAGCCUUGGCUCCCGACCCUGAAAGAGCAGGACCGCGCUAGGAGCCAAGAAUGUGUGCUGUGCCGGAAGAACCCCCAACAACCAGGACGUAGCCACUGCUGCUCCCGACUUUGGGCGUUUCUGUUACCUGGGGACGCCUGCACCCUGGGAGGCCUCCGCCCCAACCCUAUAGAGGACCUCUGGCGGCAGUGGCGGAUGUCCCGCCGCCGAGGAGCAGAUCCUGACCAUCCUGCCCGCGGAGCACCAGGCCCGGGUGUUAGAGCAUCAGCCAGAGAGCAGGGAGGAGGCGGCGAUCGCGUGGGGGCUUUGCAGAGAGAGCUCCACGAAACAGGUCGGCAGGCGUGAUUAAAUGAAUGAAUAGCCAGCCAGGGAGACAAGCAUCCGUACAGCCAUGGGAGCAGGGUUGCGGAGCUUCAGGCCCCCUCGACCAGGCUACAUGUACUGGUGCCUGCGUUACUUACCUUGAUCCUUUCUGGUUUCUUUCUUUCUUUCUUUCUUUCUUUCUUUCUUUCUUUCUUUCUUUCUUUCUGGUUUCUUUCCUUCCUUCCUUCCUUCCUUCCUUCUUUCUUUUCUUUCUUUCUUUCUUUCUUUCCUUCCUUCCUUCUUUCUUUUCUUUCUUUCUUGAAUCUUUUUUUCUUUCUUUCUUUCUUUCUGGUGUCUUUCUGGUGUCUUUCUUUCCUUCCUUCCUUCUUUCUUUUCUCUCUUUCUUUCUGGUUUCUUUCUUUCUGGUUUCUUUCCUUCUUUCUUUCUUUUCUUUCUUUCUUUCUUUCUUUCUUUCUUUCUUUCUUUCUGGUUUCUUUCUUUCUGGUUUCUUUCUUUCCUUCCUUCCUUCUUUCUUUUCUUUCUUUCUUUCUUUCUUUCUUUCUUUCUUUCUGGUUUCUUUCUUUCCUUCCUUCUUUCUUUUCUUUCUUUCUUCCCUUCUUUCUUUAUUUCUCCCUUCCUUUCUUUCUCCCUUCCUUCCUUCCUUUCUUUCUUUCAACGUUUAUUCAUUUUUUCGAGACAGCCCGAGUGGGUAGGGCGUGGGGACACAGAAUCCAAAGCAGGCUCCACGCUGGUCAGCACAGAGCUCCACAAGAGGACUCAAAUGCACGAACCGGGGAGAUCAUGACCUGAGCCGAAGUUGGACUCUUAACCAACUGAGCCACCCAGGCCCCUGAUCUUUUCUGGCUUCUUACUUCUUGAAGGUGGAACAGACUGUGUGUGCAUUUUUCUCUAUUCUGUGCCUAGAGAGUUGUUCCCUGAGGUGUCUUUAUAAUCAGGUAUUAAUUCUGGUUCACUCAUUGAGUCUUUCACAAACCCAACCAUAUCUUAAUUGUUUCCAGGUUGUAGCCAGGACAGGUGGAAUAGGAGUGUGUUCAGAGUUUCCUCACCAGGCAGCACAGAAGCCACCAGCUAUUCUAGGCCAAGAAACAUGUAGACUUCCAGGCCAUUCAUGAACAAGGUAAGCGUCAGGAUCCAUCUUGAGAGAGGGUGGCCGAAAGCUGUGCCAGCUAUCUAGGUUGAAAAGCAAUUCGGAACACCUGAGACAGAAACACGGUGCUGAAUCCAACUGAAUAUCUGUCCUCUCAAGUACAGCAUUCCAGCUUGGGCAGCACUAGCAGAGGACGUGAUGCGGAAUAACAUAACGCUGUCGUCCCUAUUAUCUGACUCGUGAGGAAGCUGUACAGCAUUCCUAACCUCAUUGAACAACCUUUUCAGACUGCUCUCAUAACGUUUAUCUUUACUUAAAGCUAUUUGUGUUUUCAUCAUAUGUAAUCAUAGCCUAACCUCUACUGUACAUUUAGUACUUGCUCUGUAAAGCAGAACUCACUCUUUUGUAUUAAAAUGACCUUUUCUGAAUUUCCCACAUCCUUUGAAGCCAUUUUGUACCUCUUUUCUGUUCCC